GCCGGCCGAGAGGAUCAGGGCCUCUGCCGCGCAGGACUGCAUGUUGCCCUGGGUGUCGCAGGCGCACACACGGAUGUAUUCAUAGCUAAAAUGAACUUCAAAAUCCCCUGAGACAGUGUCCUGC